UAGGGAAUCUUCCACAAUGGACGCAAGUCUGAUGGAGCAACGCCGCGUGAGUGAAGAAGGCUUUCGGGUCGUAAAACUCUGUUAUUGAAGAAGAACGUGCGUGACAGUAACUGGUCAUGCAGUGACGGUAUUCAAUCAGAAAGUCACGGCUAACUACGUGCCAGCAGCCGCGGUAAUACGUAGGUGGCAAGCGUUGUCCGGAUUUAUUGGGCGUAAAGCGAGUGCAGGCGGUCUUUUAAGUCUGAUGUGAAAGCCUUCGGCUUAACCGAAGAAGGGCAUCGGAAACUGGGAGACUUGAGUGCAGAAGAGGAGAGUGGAACUCCAUGUGUAGCGGUGAAAUGCGUAGAUAUAUGGAAGAACACCAGUGGCGAAGGCGGCUCUCUGGUCUGUAACUGACGCUGAGGCUCGAAAGCGUGGGUAGCAAACAGGAUUAGAUACCCUGGUAGUCCACGCCGUAAAACGAUGAAUACUAAGUGUUGGAGGGUUUCC
rnacentral:rRNA from 1 species